GAAGAAAGGGCAUCAGGAACUAGGGAUAUAGAUAAGUUUCUUGAAAGUGGGAAUACUUGGAAUUGUAUUAACAGCUUAAAUCACAUUCACAGGAGAAGGCUGCAGUAGAGGCUAGAGCUAUUUUUCCUGGCAACAGACCCAGAGAGAAGCUCAACACUUGGAGUAUGAAAGGAGAGUUGGAAAGAAAUCAACUGUGGAAUAACUGCGUGAGUCAUAGUCCAUGUUCUCCUUCCCUGCAUCACAUGCUCAGGCUAAAACCAGAGGACUAAUAUUUAAAAUAAUUGAAUAGUCUUCGUGAGAAGGAGCCCUAGUUGGGGUGAUGCCUCAUCUGAGUAAACUUCUUCCCACUUUUGCUGGGAAGUGGGAGAAGUAGGGAGGGGGACCUCCAACCUCCUCUUCUUUCACUACAAGGUCUAAAGCAAAGGCUGCCAGUGACAGCCACUUGUGUAGACAAGAGAGAGCUGGACAAGGCCGAGCUAUCUGCAUUGAAUGAGGUGACUUACCUCAGUUGUAGGUAUGAAUCUAUAGCCAAGGAUUAUGAAAACCUGAAGAAAAAAAAAGA
rnacentral:lncRNA from 1 species